GUUGCUUCUUACUGGUGAACUCUCUCUGUUUUUUAACAAACAAAAGUGAGAGAUGUUCAUUGUUUCCGAAUCAUAGAUCGAUUUGCUUUUGACACAAUUAAACAGCUCGCCGCAUCACACGAAUCACGAUUGUGUUUUGUUGCAUCAUGCUACCUCUCUCCUGGUAUAAUU